CAAUUAAAUGCUAGUGUCACCACGCCUCGCCCGAUUCACAAAAAAUCCUAUGAACCCUAAAAGCCAAAUUCUGGGGCAAAAUUAGAAAUCACCAAAGCCCAAAAUUGUUUCUAACCCUAAGCCCCAAAUCCAUUCUACCCCAUUGACAGUCCCCCCAAUCUGACGAAUGAGGAACAAUUUUUUUGAUUGAAAUGGAAAAGACGUGAAGAUGGAGGGAGGAAAUGAAGGUAAUUUCAAUUGUUCAAAUUUAUUUUUGGAACUCCAAAUCCUUUGAAUUUUUUUUGCACUAGAAGAUGGUUGAAGGGGGCUUGGAUUGAUAGAUAGGAUGUUUUCACUAUUAUGUCUGUCAUCCUUUCAUUUAUUGGCCAUCCAUUCUGAAAAUGCCCCCUAUGGACUUAGCAGAUGAUUAACCUGGUUCAAAUGUGGUAUUAACUAUCAACCUCCAACGAUGGUACACGAGGAUAAUCUUGCCAAGGUGCAGCGAGCUGUGUGCAUGAUUAGCAACAAACACUGCUGUAGCUGAAGUGUUUUCACAAAUUGACCACAAAUUUGAUCUGAUGUACGCCAAAAGGGCAUUUGGUCAUUGGUAUGUUGGUGAAGGAAUGAAAGAAGGUGAUUUCAGUGAAGCUCGUGAAGAUUUAGUUGCACUUGAGAAAGAUUACAAAGAAGUUGGUGGUGAGGCGUAGAUGAUGAAGAAGAAGGCGAGUGUGAAGAUUAUUAAUGUUGUUGGCCUUCUAAGUUCCUCAAAUCGCGAUAGUUGGGCUAUUAUCUAUGUCCUAUCAUGUGCUAUUGUGUUUUGUGUAUUAAUGUUUUCUUACUUUGGAUAAGGCAUUGUUCAAACCUUGUUUGUAGUAGAAAGUUCAUCUACAAAGGGCUUCAAGAGUUGGAUGGACCAGCUGCAUGCUCACCCAAGUUAUGACAACAAGAAUUGUGCUAGUUAAACGAUCGAUAUAUCUUCAUUUUCAAGUAUAAUGUCUUUAUAGCCAAACAAAGCUCGUGAUGGAACAAUUAAAUGUUUUUAGAUAUACACAAGCAGCUUUUGAAUAAUGUCUUUAAUUCUCAAUAAUAACAGAACA
rnacentral:lncRNA from 1 species